AAAAAUAAUUUUGGAAUCAUACAAGACUUGGCUUAUUAACGAAGAUUCUAUAGGAAAAAGCGAAAAAACGACUUCUGCAAUUGAUAUAGGAUACAGAUAUGAAAUAAGACAGUGAUAAGAGCUUUUUAUGAAGAUAAAAUGGAAAACACAAGAAAAAUGGAGAGAUAAAAGAUUUUCUUUUGGGAAGAUGUGUACUUUCAUAGAAUUUCAUAACAAAAUCUCACCGAUUGUAUCUUGCUUUUCAAUGAAAGUGUGGGCCAAGAAAGAGUAAAGCUAGAGCAACAAAAUUGGAAUCCUGUUGAGCAAACGAAUCCGCCAAAUGGUUUCUGCUUAUAAUUGUCUUCAAGUCAUUUCUUCAAAUACCUCUUCAGAAAAUUAUACUUUUGAAUAUUCAGAUCGAAUAGAAGUUAUGCUGUACCUCCUAAAUCUGUUUUUUUCGAUGAUAUAAAGAUAAUUUUAUUCUUAAUGGUUGUUCCACACUGGUAGAAAUGUGCAGUGAAUAAGGUUUUCUAUUGAUGUCUUCAAUCUCAUUUUUUAUAUGAUAUAGAGGCAAUAGUAGCAUGCAUUUUAAAAAAUAAUUUUGGCAUCAUAUACAAGACUUGGCUUAAUAACGAAGAAUCUAUAGGAAAAAGCGAAAAAACGACUU